rnacentral:rRNA from 1 species
GCGGCAGCGACGCUUAUGCGUUGUUGGGUAGGGGAGCGUUCUGUAAGCCUGCGAAGGUGUGCUGUGAGGCAUGCUGGAGGUAUCAGAAGUGCGAAUGCUGACAUAAGUAACGAUAAAGCGGGUGAAAAGCCCGCUCGCCGGAAGACCAAGGGUUCCUGUCCAACGUUAAUCGGGGCAGGGUGAGUCGACCCCUAAGGCGAGGCCGAAAGGCGUAGUCGAUGGGAAACAGGUUAAUAUUCCUGUACUUGGUGUUACUGCGAAGGGGGGACGGAGAAGGCUAUGUUGGCCGGGCGACGGUUGUCCCGGUUUAAGCGUGUAGGCUGGUUUUCCAGGCAAAUCCGGAAAAUCAAGGCUGAGGCGUGAUGACGAGGCACUACGGUGCUGAAGCAACAAAUGCCCUGCUUCCAGGAAAAGCCUCUAAGCAUCAGGUAACAUCAAAUCGUACCCCAAACCGACACAGGUGGUCUGGUAGAGAAUACCAAGGCGCUUGAGAGAACUCGGGUGAAGGAACUAGGCAAAAUGGUGCCGUAACUUCGGGAGAAGGCACGCUGAUAUGUAGGUGAGGUCCCUCGCGGAUGGAGCUGAAAUCAGUCGAAGAUACCAGCUGGCUGCAACUGUUUAUUAAAAACACAGCACUGUGCAAACACGAAAGUGGACGUAUACGGUGUGACGCCUGCCCGGUGCCGGAAGGUUAAUUGAUGGGGUUAGCGCAAGCGAAGCUCUUGAUCGAAGCCCCGGUAAACGGCGGCCGUAACAAUAACGGUCCUAAGGUAGCGAAAUUCCUUGUCGGGUAAGUUCCGACCUGCACGAAUGGCGUAAUGAUGGCCAGGCUGUCUCCACCCGAGACUCAGUGAAAUUGAACUCGCUGUGAAGAUGCAGUGUACCCGCGGCAAGACGGAAAGACCCCGUGAACCUUUACUAUAGCUUGACACUGAACAUUGAGCCUUGAUGUGUAGGAUAGGUGGGAGGCUUUGAAGUGUGGACGCCAGUCUGCAUGGAGCCGACCUUGAAAUACCACCCUUUAAUGUUUGAUGUUCUAACGUUGACCCGUAAUCCGGGUUGCGGACAGUGUCUGGUGGGUAGUUUGACUGGGGCGGUCUCCUCCUAAAGAGUAACGGAGGAGCACGAAGGUUGGCUAAUCCUGGUCGGACAUCAGGAGGUUAGUGCAAUGGCAUAAGCCAGCUUGACUGCGAGCGUGACGGCGCGAGCAGGUGCGAAAGCAGGUCAUAGUGAUCCGGUGGUUCUGAAUGGAAGGGCCAUCGCUCAACGGAUAAAAGGUACUCCGGGGAUAACAGGCUGAUACCGCCCAAGAGUUCAUAUCGACGGCGGUGUUUGGCACCUCGAUGUCGGCUCAUCACAUCCUGGGGCUGAAGUAGGUCCCAAGGGUAUGGCUGUUCGCCAUUUAAAGUGGUACGCGAGCUGGGUUUAGAACGUCGUGAGACAGUUCGGUCCCUAUCUGCCGUGGGCGCUGGAGAACUGAGGGGGGCUGCUCCUAGUACGAGAGGACCGGAGUGGACGCAUCACUGGUGUUCGGGUUGUCAUGCCAAUGGCACUGCCCGGUAGCUAGAUGCGGAAGAGAUAAGUGCUGAAAGCAUCUAAGCACGAAACUUGCCCCGAGAUGAGUUCUCCCUGACCCUUUAAGGGUCCUGAAGGAACGUUGAAGACGACGACGUUGAUAGGCCGGGUGUGUAAGC